rnacentral:rRNA from 1 species
GAAUGACUCUCGGCAACGGAUAUCUCGGCUCUUGCAUCGAUGAAGAACGUAGCGAAAUGCGAUACUUGGUGUGAAUUGCAGAAUCCCGUGAACCAUUGAGUCUUUGAACGCAAGUUGCGCCCGAAGCCAUUAGGCCGAGGGCACGCCUGCCUGGGUGUCACAC